GUUAUGCUAUGUUUGCUAGCUGGCUAUAACAGAGGGAUGCUAUGUUGGCUAGCUGGCUAUAACAGAGGGAUGCUAUGUUAGCUAGCUGGCUAUAACAGAGGGAUGCUAUGUUGGCUAGCUGGCUAUAACAGAGGGAUGCUAUGUUAGCUAUGUUAGCUGGCUAUAACAGAGGGAUGCUAUGUUAGCUAGCUGGCUAUAACAGAGGGAUGCUAUGUUUGCUAGCUGGCUAUAACAGAGGGAUGCUAUGUUUGCUAGCUGGCUAUAACAGAGGGAUGCUAUGUUUGCUAGCUAUCUGGCUAUAACAGGGGGAUGCUAUGUUAGCUAGCUGGCUAUAACAGGGGGAUGCUAUGUUAGCUAGCUGGCUAUAACAGGGGGAUGCUAUGUUAGCUAGCUGGCUAUAACAGAGGGAUGCUAUGUUAGCUAGCUGGCUAUAACAAUCCAACACAACACUGGAACUCUUUCAAGUCCAGGUAAGCUUUUAGUUUUACUAAUUUAUUGCCCCCGGGGCCCACUGGUGUAACUGCUUACUGACUGAACACUUUAGAUAAUAUGGUGACAACGAUGCGAGAAGGCAUACAACUUGGCUGUGUGUUUUACAUGUGAUCAUUCAUUCCGCCAAUUAAAUGGAAAAAAACAGGGAUAAACAUACUUGAAUUUGAGUAUCAUGGAGUAACCUAAACCUAUUGAUGUUACAUUGAACUAAGUGAAUGGAAUAUGAAUGACAGUCAUCCAAUAUGCUGUAAUAGAAAUAAGGCCAUGCUCAUGAAUAGAAAUUGUCCUCCCUCAUCUUAAACAGCAUCUGAUAGCCACUGAUUUCAGUGCAUAUUCCGUCUUGCUCUUGCUAACAUAUAUAUACUCAUUUCGGGAACAUGUAUUUGUGUAUUUAGAGUGUUCUAUGUAAAGUUAAAAGUAUUCAUACAAUAUAUAAAAUACGAGUUUUAUAUAACAAGUCAGAGGAAUUGUUGGUUACAAUACAAUCACGACAAGCUGUUGGUGCUGUAAAAGCGCUAUAGGUCCUUCUGAUCAGGGCCUGGGUCUCAACUCGCUAUUGACAGUUAGAAUAGUAGAAUACACACGGUGAAAUGUGGUAGCGCAUCAGCAGAUUUCCUCUUAAACCAGUCACUGACAGUCACUCAAUUAGCCCAUGUCAACGACAUUUUUUUUUUUUUUAAUUGGUAAAUUAGUCUCUAAUCAGCGAUCUGAAAAAUACACAUUUUCCACCAGCAAGAGAGGGGCCACUUAAAGAAUGUGCCUGCCCUGGCUCUGAACGUAAACAGGAAAUGACAUAUAUAAAAGAUGCUGCAUAUAGUCUGGUACUAAUUAUUUGACUUCCUAUUCUUUGUCCAUUAGGAGCUCUGCCCUGACUCAGGCUGAGGCGACACAGUAACCAUCUGCCAUUAUGACCAAGUCUCUAAGCAUCAUACUAAAGAAUGGUGCAGGCAGGGGCAAGGAACGUGUCUCAUGUGAGCUGCUGGCUGACACAAGGUUUCAAGAGGGAAAGGUGUUUUUUUUUAUCAGGGAUGAUAGAUCUGUGGGGAUUCUCCAUGUCACUAUGAUUAACCUGACGGCAGAGGAUGAGGUCUUGUAUCUGUAUGUUGUAUCACUUUACAGGAAGGAUGGCUACCACCACUUUAUCUCUAUGUCAAACCAGGGGAAGGAUUUGGGGUUUGUGUGUGUGUGUGUGUGUGUGGUGACACUCCUAUUUUGUCAUGUUGAUGGACAGAGAAAAUGUUUUGAGUACAUUCAGGCUUCCAUACUAACACUCUAUCCCCAGUAGGUCCCAACCAGAGCCAAGGAGAGCCAACCAGAGCCAAGGAGAGCCAACCAGAGCCAAGGAGAGCCAACCAGAGCCAAGGCUCGUAUGGACGCUCACCAGAUGGAUUCUCUUUGCCAUCCUGCAAGCCUGCACUGUGGCUGCUUCAAGGUGGAGAAGGGAGAUAAAUGCAUAGCGACCCCAAGCCCUGUAACCCCUCACUCCGAAGUUGAAUUGCCCUUAAUAACCGCUGGUCCAGAGUCAGAUAUUCUUCUGUCCCAAUAAGAUUAAGGGUUUGGAUUGGGGUUAGGAUAAUCUGAUCCUAGAUCUGUGGUUCGAGGAAACUUCUCAAGUUCUUCCUCCACUGGACCAGGAAAGAACCAGAACUUUGGCCUUGAAUGACCUUUGACCUCCUAUGUUAUAUGAAUAGUCAGCACAAGCUGGGCAAAGUACCGCCACGGUUUGCUCUAUUGUUUACCAGAUCAAUGGCACACUGAUAGUAACUAGUAACUACUAACAAUUGGAUACCACGAAAUUGGGCUAGAAAAGGGGGUAAUAUAAAAAAUAAAAGAAAUUCAGGAGAGGACUUCCCGCUGUGCAGUUUCCGUGCGUUUUCGCACUCUGAAAAGAUGUCUAGGAGCAAUGCAACGUUACAGCAACCUCUAUCACGAUGACAUUCAAAUCCUCACUGCUACCAGGGCUUUGUUCUACACUGCAGAAUUCAAAGUAGCUCAAGUCAUAAGAUAUGACUGCUACCAUUGACGUUCCAAGCUUUGUCCCUUUUGUUCGCGGGCACAAGUAUAUAAAGUAUGUAGCCCUGUGUCAUGUGGAGAAGUUUCCUCAUUUGGGAACCUAUUGUUAAAAAAAAAAUGCUUUCUCCUCUUAAAAAAUGUGUCUAUCCACACUUGCUGUCGCUUCAUUAACUAAACAAUUGCUAGAGCACCUACCAAUCUGUUACAUCCUGUCUGUUCUGUCAUCACUCCAAUCAUUUGCUGAACAUUUUCAAUGACAGAGUGCCUUCGGAAAGUAUAAAGACCCUCUUGACUUGUUCCACAUUUUGUUAGGUUACAGCC
ensembl:lncRNA